rnacentral:rRNA from 1 species
UACAGAGGUGGCAAGCGUUGUUCGGAAUUACUGGGCGUAAAGGGCGCGUAGGCGGCCUUCUAAGUCAGACGUGAAAUCCCCCGGCUUAACCUGGGAACUGCGUCUGAUACUGGGAGGCUAGAGUGCGGGAGAGGGAUGCGGAAUUCCAGGUGUAGCGGUGAAAUGCGUAGAUAUCUGGAGGAACACCGGUGGCGAAGGCGGCAUCCUGGACCGACACUGACGCUGAGGCGCGAAAGCUAGGGUAGCAACGGG